UACGUAGGUGGCAAGCGUUGUCCGGAAUUACUGGGCGUAAAGCGUGCGCAGGCGGCUUCCUAAGUCAGAUGUGAAAUCCCCGGGCUCAACCUGGGAACUGCGUUUGAAACUGGGAGGCUAGAGUGCGGCAGAGGGGGGUGGAAUUCCACGUGUAGCAGUGAAAUGCGUAGAUAUGCGGAGGAACACCGAUGGCGAAGGCAAUCCCCUGGGCCUGCACUGACGCUCAUGCACGAAAGCGUGGGGAGCAAACAGG
rnacentral:rRNA from 1 species